AGAAGGAUAGUGCUUUGUUAGUGGUGUCUGCAGGGCUGCACGAGGAGCCUUGAACAUGGUGGCAUUGGUUAUUUGGGUAAUAUUCUUGAAAACUCACUGGGAAACAAAGAUGAGGGAAGGAAUCAAGGCGCCCGCAUGAAUCACACCGUCCUGUGGACCCGCUGAGACGUGUGAAAGAAAUGAUCCAAUCUGCUGAGCGUCGGGGUAUAUCAUGUGUUCUAUCCUUCAUUCCACCGGAGUCUGUAUCCAUGGUAACCAGAUUUCAGUGGUGUGAAGAGUAAGAGGCAUGGGGUUGAACGUCCAAAACCGACCAACAAGCCAGGAAGUCUUCUUGAGAUAAUGGCACCACAAUGACUUUCCAUGAUUGCCAAACUAUUUUCACAUUUAAUAAUAAAGGUUGAUGGGAAGUGUUGCAUAUGGUUACUUUACUUAAAUGUAUUAUUAGAAUGUGUGUGUGAAUUGUUAUCCUUGAGAUGUUCUGUCUGGUUGUGUACUACGAAUACUACCUAAAUAAAGAAAUGUCCUGACUAAUG
ensembl:lncRNA